GACGGAGGAUGCAAGUGUUAUCCGGAAUCACUGGGCGUAAAGCGUCUGUAGGUGGUUUAAAAAGUCUACUGUUAAAAAUUGAAGCUUAACUUCAAAGAUGCCGUAGAAACUUUUAAACUUGAGGAUGGUAGGGGUAGAGGGAAUUUCCAGUGGAGCGGUGAAAUGCGUAGAUCUUGGAAAGACCACCAAUGGCGAAGGCACCCUACUGGGCCAUUACUGACACUAAGAGACGAAAGCUAGGGGAGCAAAUGGG
rnacentral:rRNA from 1 species